rnacentral:rRNA from 1 species
GACGUAGGGCGCGAGCGUUGUCCGGAUUUAUUGGGCGUAAAGAGCUCGUAGGCGGCUUGUCGCGUCGACCGUGAAAACUUGGGGCUCAACCCCAAGCCUGCGGUCGAUACGGGCAGGCUCGAGUUCGGUAGGGGAGACUGGAAUUCCUGGUGUAGCAGUGAAAUGCGUAGAUAUCAAGAGGAACACCAGUGGCGAAGGCGAGUCCCUGGACAACUUCUGACGCUGAGGCACGAAAGCUAGGGGAGCAAACAGG